CUUACCAACCCGAUGCAAACUACGAAUACCGAAGAAUGUUAUCACGGGAGACACACGGCGGGUGCUAACGUCCGUCGUGAAGAGGGAAACAACCCAGACCGCCAGCUAAGGUCCCAAAGUCAUGGUUAAGUGGGAAACGAUGUGGGAAGGCACAGACAGCCAGGAUGUUGGCUUAGAAGCAGCCAUCAUUUAAAGAAAGCGUAAUAGCUCACUGGUCGAGUCGGCCUGCGCGGAAGAUGUAACGGGGCUAAACCAUGCACCGAAGCUGCGGCAGCGACGCUUAUGCGUUGUUGGGUAGGGGAGCGUUCUGUAAGCCGUUGAAGGUGUGCUGUGAGGCAUGCUGGAGGUAUCAGAAGUGCGAAUGCUGACAUAAGUAACGAUAAAGCGGGUGAAAAGCCCGCUCGCCGGAAGACCAAGGGUUCCUGUCCAACGUUAAUCGGGGCAGGGUGAGUCGACCCCUAAGGCGAGGCCGAAAGGCGUAGUCGAUGGGAAACAGGUUAAUAUUCCUGUACUUGGUGUUACUGCGAAGGGGGGACGGAGAAGGCUAUGUCAGCCGGGCGACGGUUGUCCCGGUUUAAGCAUGUAGGCGGAGGUUCCAGGUAAAUCCGGUACCUUAUUAACGCUGAGGUGUGAUGACGAGGCACUACGGUGCUGAAGUGAUAAAUGCCCUGCUUCCAGGAAAAGCCUCUAAGCAUCAGGUAACACGAAAUCGUACCCCAAACCGACACAGGUGGUCAGGUAGAGAAUACCAAGGCGCUUGAGAGAACUCGGGUGAAGGAACUAGGCAAAAUGGUGCCGUAACUUCGGGAGAAGGCACGCUGAUGUGUAGGUGAAGUCCCUGCGGACGGAGCUGAAAUCAGUCGAAGAUACCAGCUGGCUGCAACUGUUUAUUAAAAACACAGCACUGUGCAAACACGAAAGUGGACGUAUACGGUGUGACGCCUGCCCGGUGCCGGAAGGUUAAUUGAUGGGGUUAGCGGCAACGCGAAGCUCUUGAUCGAAGCCCCGGUAAACGGCGGCCGUAACUAUAACGGUCCUAAGGUAGCGAAAUUCCUUGUCGGGUAAGUUCCGACCUGCACGAAUGGCGUAAUGAUGGCCAGGCUGUCUCCACCCGAGACUCAGUGAAAUUGAACUCGCUGUGAAGAUGCAGUGUACCCGCGGCAAGACGGAAAGACCCCGUGAACCUUUACUAUAGCUUGACACUGAACACUGGUCCUUGAUGUGUAGGAUAGGUGGGAGGCUUUGAAGCGUGGACGCCAGUCUGCGUGGAGCCGCCCUUGAAAUACCACCCUUUAAUGGCUGGUGUUCUAACGUAGACCCGUGAUCCGGGUUGCGGACAGUGUCUGGUGGGUAGUUUGACUGGGGCGGUCUCCUCCCAAAGAGUAACGGAGGAGCACGAAGGUUGGCUAAUCCUGGUCGGACAUCAGGAGGUUAGUGCAAUGGCAUAAGCCAGCUUGACUGCGAGCGUGACGGCGCGAGCAGGUGCGAAAGCAGGUCAUAGUGAUCCGGUGGUUCUGAAUGGAAGGGCCAUCGCUCAACGGAUAAAAGGUACUCCGGGGAUAACAGGCUGAUACCGCCCAAGAGUUCAUAUCGACGGCGGUGUUUGGCACCUCGAUGUCGGCUCAUCACAUCCUGGGGCUGAAGUAGGUCCCAAGGGUAUGGCUGUUCGCCAUUUAAAGUGGUACGCGAGCUGGGUUUAGAACGUCGUGAGACAGUUCGGUCCCUAUCUGCCGUGGGCGCUGGAGAAUUGAGGGGGGCUGCUCCUAGUACGAGAGGACCGGAGUGGACGCAUCACUGGUGUUCGGGUUGUCAUGCCAAUGGCACUGCCCGGUAGCUAAAUGCGGAAGAGAUAAGUGCUGAAAGCAUCUAAGCACGAAACUUGCCCCGAGAUGAGUUCUCCCUGAGACUUUAAGUCUCCUGAAGGAACGUUGAAGACGACGACGUUGAUAGGUCGGGUGUGUAAGCGCAGCGAUGCGUUGAGCUAACCGAUACUAAUGAACCGUGAGGCUUAACCUU
rnacentral:rRNA from 2 species